UUUUAUUUUUAAUUAAUUUACUUGGAAAUAUUGCAUUAAUUUUUAGAAAUUGAUAUAAGUAGUCAUAAAAAUAUUCUGUUAGUGUUGUAGUUGUUUUGUUGGGAGUUUUUUUUUUAAUGAUGCAUCGGUUGCUAUUUACGAAUUAAACUGAGUUAGUAUAAUUGAACGCAACUAUAAAAUCUAUAAUCUACGUCUCAUAAAUAUCGAAGGAACUAUUAUCAUCUUUGGAUCUUUCGGCGAUCUCGCUCAAUAAUGAUGAUGUCAUUAUCUAUGCAUCUUGUCUUCGCUCUUCGAGAAGACGAGCCAACGUUUUUGUUCUCCGUAAACGAAGACGACGCCUGAAGAAUAAUAAAUGAAUAUGAAGACAGUGGAUCAAAAAGGCUUGAAGUAUGGAAAAGCAGUCCCACUCGUAAAUUAUACUCUUGGGAUUGGAAAAGGCCCAUUUGUGGAAACAGUUGUUGCAAAGAAACAAAAAAUUAGGAUUGGAAACUUGGACUCUCCACAAUCUCCUCUUGUACUUGAGAGGUGCAAUUUCCGUGAUGUUCUGUCUCUUGCUUGUUGGCUCAUUUCAACCAUCAGUGUAUUUCUCCGUUGGCAACGUUUAGUAAUAAAACUGGAGCACCGUACUGUCUACAAUAAUCCUGGAGAUUAUCCAACAAAUGAAAGAGACUAAGGUUCAACUUGGUCAUACUGAAACAGCCAAGGUCUACAGUGGUGUCUUUUGUGAACUACAUAUUCUUGAUUUGCUGUUUUCGUCUUCACCUUGCAACAUCAUGAAGUUAAUUUUCAACUGAUAAAUAAGAACAACAGGAGAUUUACUGAAACAACAUUUUGUGCUGUGGUAUUCCUUCUGGAUUUAGUCUGCAUUUCACAUCUGCAAACUUUGAAAAGUUACAGUCUACAAUUAAUUAAGAUCGACGUUGGAGAAGACAAAGAUGACCCCGCAGUUGAA
rnacentral:misc_RNA from 1 species